rnacentral:tRNA from 1 species
AUAGAUUAAGUUACAACACAUCUAUUGAAAAUCCUCGUGUCGGUGGUUCGAUUCCGCCUCUGGGCACCA